UACGAAGGGGCUAGCGUUGCUUGGAAUCACUGGGCGUAAAGGGUGCGUAGGUGGGUAGGUAAGUCAGCGGUGAAAUCCCCGAGCUUAACUUGGGAACUGCCAUUGAUACUAUCUGUCUUGAAUACCUUGGAGGUGAGCGGAAUAUGUCAUGUAGCGGUGAAAUGCUUAGAUAUGACAUAGAACACCAAUUGCGAAGGCAGCUCACUACACGGUCAUUGACACUGAGGCACGAAAGCGUGGGGAUCAAACAGG
rnacentral:rRNA from 1 species